UUUCUCCCGAAUCUCUCCUACCAACUCACGCAUGGUCUUCUCCUCCCUCUCUCCUCUCCCCUCUCCCCUCUCCCCUCUCCGCGAAUCUCUCCUUCGAACUCCUCUCCGUCCAACCUCUCUUCCACAAACCCCUCUCCACGAAUCUCUCCUCCAAAUACCUUCAAACAGUGAGCUUUUUUAGCACCAGUCGCGCCUUGCCUUGAAAGCCUUCACUGCCGCUCGAAGCGAGCAGUAGUACGAUGUCGAUCUCAACCUCUACGCGUCUCCACCUUGUCCAGGUGCGGAUCGUGGCAGGAGAUCGAUACCUUGGUUGCUGAUCUAAUGGAGGAGGGAUGACUCUCCACGGAGACCUCCAAAGGGGGUUCCCUAUUGGCCGAUUGAUGGCGAGGAGGAGAGCUAAUCAGCGAGUCGAUCAGCGGUGCCGUAGAAGGUCAAGAUUGGAUUUUACUUCGCCGCGUGGUGAGCGCUGAACAUGGUGUUCAACAUCUACAACAAGAAGGUUCUUAACGCCUUCCCCUACCCUUGGCUGACCUCCACACUCCCCCUUGCUGCCGGCUAGCUCCCACAUGUUUUAGGUCAAGUUUGAUUUAACCUCUUCAAAGCACAUGUUGAAAUGACAAAAAAGAUUUGUGGCAAUGCAAAUGUCCGUUACACAUGGCUUGCUUCCUCCAAGGAUGCGGUGGACGAGAUGAUGUCUCAUGGGGUUCUGAAGCAACCUGUGCAGAAAUGACUUUAUGGAAAUGGACUUCAUCUUGCCCUUACAAAUUGCUCUUAUAUCUGCUAUGAAUUCUACAUAAGACAACACAAAAUCUUUGUACAAAGUGAGAGCAGAAAUGCGAAGUACAUUGAACAUUCAUUUGAAGUGCCUUUUCAGAUAUUUUGAAGGUGAAUGGUGAUAUUCAGAAACUCCAACUAAAUAGCACGAGUAUAGAUGAUUACAGGAGCAACAACUACAUGCUAUAUGACACUGUAUAUGAACUCCAAGGGUGUGACUGGAAAGUAUUUCGAUGAAAAACUAUCAAGAAGACUUUGGGAUUUAAGUAAGAAAAUGGUGUCGUCUCUGCUAGCUUUCAAAUGCUAAAACCCACUAUGCUGGUUCUUAUCACAAUGGUCCUUCUUGUUCGGUUUACUCUUUUAAGAAGGUCAGAGAAUUACAGUCAAUGGGUGAUUACUUUCUCUCCCAGCAUCGUUUUGUACAAUUGUUUUGCUAUCAUUUUGUUUUGGAUGCUUCAAUGACAUUCCUUGGCUUGACUAACAUGCUUUGGACAGGAUAUAGGCAAGGGAUUGAAUUUGAAAACUCGAACCCACAGGCCUGAGUAGAUGGUUCAACAGGAAUCAAAUUCCAUUAGAUAUCCAUUGACAGUGAUGUGGCAGAAUAGAUGAUGUGGUAGAAGAAUUGCAGGAGGCCAAUUGUUCAAUCUGUUCAAAGCUCACAAAGAUCCUAGACAAAAUCCAAUUGCUUAUUCCUGUAAUAGAUUGAGAAAGACAAGCUACUUCUUCAGUAUUGUGGUAGUAAUUACUGUACUGUUUUGUCUCGUUCUCAAGCCGAUAAUAAUUUUUUAGUGUAGCUAGUAGAAGUAAACAGAUUGUUGGCUUCGAGGUCAAUUAGUUAUUUUGUGCUCUUUUGUUUUAAAUGUGAAUAUCACUAUCUAGU